rnacentral:rRNA from 1 species
GACGAACGCUGGCGGCGUGCUUAACACAUGCAAGUCGAACGGAAAGGCCCUGCUUUCGUGGGGUGUUCGAGUGGCGCACGGGUGAGUAACACGUGAGUAACCUUCCCUUGACUUUGGGAUAACUUCAGGAAACUGCGGCUAAUACCGGAUAGGAGCUCCUGCUGCAUGGUGGGGUUUGGACAGUUUCGGCGGUUGGGGAUGGACUGGGGGCUUAUUAGCUUGUUGGUGGGGGAGUGGCCUACCAAGGGUUUGACGGGUGGCCGGCCUGAGAGGGGGACCGGCCACCAGGGGACUGAGAGACGGACCAGACUGGUACGGGGGGCAACGGUGGGGAAUAUUGCACAACGGGCGGAAGUGUGAUGAGAAGACGUCCGGUGUGGGAAGACCGUCAUGGGGGGGGAAACCGCAUUCGCCUGAUACGAAGCGGGAGUGACGGUAAUGGGUAAAGAAGCACCGGCUAACUACGUG